AGCGAACGCUGGCGGCAGGCCUAACACAUGCAAGUCGAGCGGGCGUAGCAAUACGUCAGCGGCAGACGGGAGAGUAACACGUGGGAACGUGCCCUUUGGUUCGGAAUAACUCAGGGAAACUUGAGCUAAUACCGGAUAAGCCCUCCGGGGGAAAGAUUUAUUGCCAUUGGAGCGGCCCGCGUCGGAUUAGCUAGUUGGUGAGGUAAUGGCUCACCAAGGCGACGAUCCGCAGCUGGUCUGAGAGGAUGACCAGCCUCACUGGGACUGAGACACGGCCCAGACUCCUACGGGAGGCAGCAGUGGGGAAUAUUGGACAAUGGGCGCAAGCCUGAUCCAGCCAUGCCGCGUGGAUGAUGAAGGCCCUAGGGUUGUAAAGUCCUUUUAACGGGGAAGAUAAUGACGGUACCCGUAGAAUAAGCCCCGGCUAACUUCGUGCCAGCCGCCGCAGUAA
rnacentral:rRNA from 1 species